rnacentral:rRNA from 1 species
AGAGUUUGAUUCUGGCUCAGGAUGAACGCUAGCUACAGGCUUAACACAUGCAAGUCGAGGGGCAGCAUUGGAGUAGCAAUACUUCAGAUGGCGACCGGCGCACGGGUGAGUAACACGUAUCCAACCUGCCGCUUACUCGGGGAUAGCCUUUCGAAAGAAAGAUUAAUACCCGAUGGUAUAAAGAGUUCGCAUGUUCUCUUUAUUAAAGAAUUUCGGUAAGCGAUGGGGAUGCGUUCCAUUAGAUAGUUGGCGGGGUAACGGCCCACCAAGUCUACGAUGGAUAGGGGUUCUGAGAGGAAGGUCCCCCACAUUGGAACUGAGACACGGUCCAAACUCCUACGGGAGGCAGCAGUGAGGAAUAUUGGUCAAUGGACGAGAGUCUGAACCAGCCAAAAGUAGCGUGAAGGAUGACUGCCCUAUGGGUUGUAAACUUCUUUUAUAAGGGAAUAAAGUGAGGGACGUGUCCCUUUUUGUAUGUACCUUAUGAAUAGGGAUCGGCUAACGGGGUCCGUGCCAGCCGCGGC